GCCUGUAUAGAUCAGUGGUAGAUCGCCUCUACUUCAUGAGCGGUUGGUACAGUAUUGAUUUCACGAGGAGACGGAGAUUCGAAUCCUCCUAUGGGUA